UAAAAUGAGAGUUUGAUCCUGGCUCAGGACGAACGCUGGCGGCGUGCCUAAUACAUGCAAGUCGAACGAAACUUUCUUACACCGAAUGCUUGCAUUCACCGUAAGAAGUUGAGUGGCGGACGGGUGAGUAACACGUGGGUAACCUGCCUAAAAGAAGGGGAUAACACUUGGAAACAGGUGCUAAUACCGUAUAUCUCUAAGGAUCGCAUGAUCCUUAGAUGAAAGAUGGUUCUGCUAUCGCUUUUAGAUGGACCCGCGGCGUAUUAACUAGUUGGUGGGGUAACGGCCUACCAAGGUGAUGAUACGUAGCCGAACUGAGAGGUUGAUCGGCCACAUUGGGACUGAGACACGGCCCAAACUCCUACGGGAGGCAGCAGUAGGGAAUCUUCCACAAUGGACGCAAGUCUGAUGGAGCAACGCCGCGUGAGUGAAGAAGGUCUUCGGAUCGUAAAACUCUGUUGUUAGAGAAGAACACGAGUGAGAGUAACUGUUCAUUCGAUGACGGUAUCUAACCAGCAAGUCACGGCUAACUACGUGCCAGCAGCCGCGGUAAUACGUAGGUGGCAAGCGUUGUCCGGAUUUAUUGGGCGUAAAGGGAACGCAGGCGGUCUUUUAAGUCUGAUGUGAAAGCCUUCGGCUUAACCGGAGUAGUGCAUUGGAAACUGGAAGACUUGAGUGCAGAAGAGGAGAGUGGAACUCCAUGUGUAGCGGUGAAAUGCGUAGAUAUAUGGAAGAACACCAGUGGCGAAAGCGGCUCUCUGGUCUGUAACUGACGCUGAGGUUCGAAAGCGUGGGUAGCAAACAGGAUUAGAUACCCUGAUAGUCCACGCCGUAAACGAUGAAUGCUAGGUGUUGGAGGGUUUCCGCCCUUCAGUGCCGCAGCUAACGCAAUAAGCAUUCCGCCUGGGGAGUACGACCGCAAGGUUGAAACUCAAAGGAAUUGACGGGGGCCCGCACAAGCGGUGGAGCAUGUGGUUUAAUUCGAAGCAACGCGAAGAACCUUACCAGGUCUUGACAUCCUUUGACCACCUAAGAGAUUAGGCUUUCCCUUCGGGGACAAAGUGACAGGUGGUGCAUGGCUGUCGUCAGCUCGUGUCGUGAGAUGUUGGGUUAAGUCCCGCAACGAGCGCAACCCUUGUUGUCAGUUGCCAGCAUUAAGUUGGGCACUCUGGCGAGACUGCCGGUGACAAACCGGAGGAAGGUGGGGACGACGUCAAGUCAUCAUGCCCCUUAUGACCUGGGCUACACACGUGCUACAAUGGACGGUACAACGAGUCGCGAGACCGCGAGGUUUAGCUAAUCUCUUAAAGCCGUUCUCAGUUCGGAUUGUAGGCUGCAACUCGCCUACAUGAAGUCGGAAUCGCUAGUAAUCGCGAAUCAGCAUGUCGCGGUGAAUACGUUCCCGGGCCUUGUACACACCGCCCGUCACACCAUGAGAGUUUGUAACACCCAAAGCCGGUGGGGUAACCGCAAGGAGCCAGCCGUCUAAGGUGGGACAGAUGAUUGGGGUGAAGUCGUAACAAGGUAGCCGUAGGAGAACCUGCGGCUGGAUCACCUCCUUU
rnacentral:rRNA from 1 species